rnacentral:rRNA from 1 species
GAUGAACGCUGGCGGCGUGCUUAACACAUGCAAGUCGAACGGAAAGGCCCAAGCUUGCUUGGGUACUCGAGUGGCGAACGGGUGAGUAACACGUGGGUGAUCUGCCCUGCACUUCGGGAUAAGCCUGGGAAUCUGGGUCUAAUACCGGAUAGGACGAUGGUUUGGAUGCCAUUGUGGAAAGUUUUUUCGGUGUGGGAUGAGCUCGCGGCCUAUCAGCUUGUUGGUGGGGUAAUGGCCUACCAAGGCGUCGACGGGUAGCCGGCCUGAGAGGGUGUACGGCCACAUUGGGACUGAGAUACGGCCCAGACUCCUACGGGAGGCAGCAGUGGGGAAUAUUGCACAAUGGGCGCAAGCCUGAUGCAGCGACGCCGCGUGGGGGAUGACGGCCUUCGGGUUGUAAACUCCUUUCGCUAGGGACGAAGCGUUUUUGUGACGGUACCUGGAGAAGAAGCACCGGCUAACUACGUG